rnacentral:lncRNA from 1 species
CUUACAACUAUUGGCGUGAGCUGUUGCUACUUUAUGAAUAGUUGCAUAUUGUAAUCAAUGCCACAAGGAGCUUCCAGUUGUUGGACUAGCCAAAGAAUGGUGGGAAAGGACUUUAUCUUUCUUUGAGCAAGCGCUUCGCUGGACUCCUGGAAGACACACCUCAUGUCACUUAUCUAAUCGCCCGAUGGUUCCAAUUCUUUUGAAGAGGUAAUAUUUUUACAAUGCAGAACUGCUUUUAAUGAGCUCCGUGGAUUGGAUCCCUGGUUGUUGCACAUCACUGACAUUUGGCAAGUUGAAAUGGUCCAAUGUAAGGGUUAUAUUUGGUGAAAAAAGUGCUACAUCUCAAGAGAUCAGCCCCUCUGUUGGACUGGAUGGGAAUGUGAGGUGUUUAAACUCUGCUUCAAAGAGUAGUUCCAGUGUCUUUUCAAAGGCAGGAGACUAAGUCACAGGGGAGCCCAAUUUCCUAUUUCCAUGCAUUAAGCCAGUAGUUGACCCAGUUCAAAAUUCAAACCUCUUCAUCCCAAAUGAAUAUCCUGCUGACUAUUCCACUGUUUCGUUAUGCACCGUGAGGCAGAAGAAUCUUACUGUUGAUUUCUGUUUGGAACAUAAGUUGGCCAAAAGAGCAAUCAUAAAUUUUAGAAAACCUCGUCCUUCAUUUCUCU